rnacentral:rRNA from 1 species
UACAGAGGGGGCAAGCGUUGUUCGGAAUUACUGGGCGUAAAGGGCGCGUAGGCGGCCUGCUAAGUCGAACGUGAAAUCCCUGGGCUCAACCCAGGAACUGCGUCCGAUACUGGUUGGCUUGAAUCCGGGAGAGGGAUGCAGAAUUCCAGGUGUAGCGGUGAAAUGCGUAGAUAUCUGGAGGAAUACCGGUGGCGAAGGCGGCAUCCUGGGACCGACAUUGACGCUGAGGAGCGAAAGCUAGGGGAGCAAACGGG